AUUGAACGCUGGCGGCAGGCCUAACACAUGCAAGUCGAACGAGUAGCGGACCAGUGAGUCAUGUCUGGGAAACUGCCUGAUGGAGGGGGAUGACUACUAGCAACGGUAGCUAAUACCGCAUACGAUCAGAUGUGCCCAGAUGUGAUUAGCUAGUUGGUGGGGUAACGGCUCACCAAGGCGACGAGCCCUAGCUGGUCUGAGAGGAUGACCAGCCACACUGGAACUGAGACACGGUCCAGACCCCUACGUGAGGCAGUAGUGGGGAAUAUUGCACAAUGGGCGUAAGCUUGAUGCAGCCAUGCCGCGUGUAUGAAGAAGGCCUUCGGGUUGUAAAGUACUUUCAGCGGGGAGGCGUUACCCGCAGAAGAAGCACCGGCUAACUCCGUGACAGCAGCCGCGGUAAUAC
rnacentral:rRNA from 1 species